UAAAUAAAGUCCUCUUGAGCUCAUUGUUCAUAUGUAUCAAACAAUACAUAAGCAAACUAACACUAAGUUACCAUGCUACAUUUUGAUGUUUUUUGUCCAGGCUUGGCCAAUAUGCUCUGUAUCUUGAAAGAAAACCUUUAUUUGUUUUCUGUAUCACAUCGUGUUCAACAUACCAGUAAUGCGUUGAUAAGGGUGAUGAAUACUGGAAAACAAAGAAUAGGUAAUCAUAGGAUGUGUUGAAGAAAUCGAGCACAUCUAUUCUUUAAAUUUUGAGCGGGAUAUAAACUUUCGAUAAAGUGAGCUAUAUAUGUCGAGAGUGGUGAUGACAAACAGGGCAUGUACAAUCUUAAAGGAGAAUGCACAUAUCAAUAACACAACACCGACAUUUAUACUCAGUAAACCAUAAGGACAAACACAAAACAAUUAAAGGAUGACAUUUGUAUGCAAGGCGAGCAAGGCCCGAGCAGUGCAUCUGAGGAUACAACAUAGGAAACGAUUUGUCUUACAUGUGAUCCGUUCAUUUAGUCAUUAAAGACUAAAGUCCUGCAGGUAGUAGGCUGAGACUUUGUUUUCUUGCUGAGCAUGUGAUAUGUUUCACUGGGAAAGCAACAAACGUGAGUAAUGCAUAUAGUUGCAUGAAUCCGUCGAAGGCCAACAAUGAACACAAGGAAAUCAUAACCAAUUAACAUAUGAACCACCUAUAUUUGGAUCCUCAUGAACCAAGGAUUAAACAGAGACCCAAAACCUCACCGAGGCUUAAACAUAGACCCAAAACCUCUGUCAAUCAUCACAAGCAGCAAACAAUAGGCCUGCCAAAAUAACCCCAAGCCAAAGAUAGGAGAUGCCUCAUCAAUAAAAAUUACAAAAAGGUAGGGGCUGCAUCAUCAAAUAUAUGACGUACCUGUCAGUGCCAUGGAACAGUACUACGAGUAUCAUGGUCCUGGACUCCUGGUCCUAUCAAAUCCCAGCAAAUACAAAAACAUCAAACCUCGGUCAUGGCCAUCAAACAUGGAGAAUAUCUGCACCAAAUGGGUGGAUACAACAUGGUUCUUACUUGCUUACUUUAAUAAGAAUGAAUCAUUAAACAUUAGUAGAACUGUUGCAUAUGAAGUACUGCAGAAAUAAGCACAUAAUAUUGGGGAAGCCCUUGUUUCUUUGCCACUACAUAACAGGAAGGACAUAAGAUAUUUUGAGAAUGGCAUAUUAAAAACUUCUCUAAAUUAUGGAGGCACAAUCAGGCAAGCUAGACCAGUCGUGAAAAUAGGAGAGAGCCCAGCUAUAUGAUAAAGGGAGUCAAGAGUUUCUUGGCAUACUCUACUAUCCAAAGAGCUUAUUUAUCAUCAUCACAACCAAAGUUAUUUAAUCUUUUGAUCUAAUAGCUUUAGAAAUAGCUGGAAGUGUGUUUCUUCUAAGGCGGUAAGCAAUUUGGACCCUCGCAAAAGAGCUAAACAUAGCAGAGAUAAAAACUAAUGAAUUGAAGAUAACCUCAAUUAGGACCUAUGAACCUCUCAGAGGUCAUUGAGGCAAACUAUCUGUACAGAUCAUCGACGAUGUUUGUCUUUAAUAUAAGUAGGACGUCCGUACCAACCUCAAGUCCUAUUUUCAGGAGAAAUUUCGAUAGAAUCAUCAUUUUAUAAGCAUUCAUACUGUAAUCGAUGAAAUCAGCAUACUACUACAUGCUAAGCAAGCAAACUCAAGAAGCUGGUUCUAAUAAUUACCUCCAGAGAAGUAAUUUUGAAUUCAUGUGACAUGUAGUGUUCUUUGAAUAACUGAGAAAAACAUAGGAAACAAUAGAAGAUGGUAAGCACAAACAUCAUAUUGCAGAAACAACAAGCAAACAUUUCACAAUUCAUAAAAACUUUUCUAUGGUUAAUUAGAGGAAGAACUACCUAUGAUCCAAGUGAGCUAAGUGAAUCCAACUAGAAAACUAAGUAACAGGCGUGAUUGAUCUUACAUUAGGGCCCAGAAAAGUAGGGGUUGUUGUUGAGGUUCAGGAUCCUGUGUGCUUCGAGUGCUGCCGCCUGGCAGAGUAAAUCAU
rnacentral:lncRNA from 1 species